rnacentral:misc_RNA from 1 species
GGAAGUAAAAGUCGUAACAAGGUCUCCGUAGGUGAACCUGCGGAGGGAUCAUUACAAGUGACCCCGGUCUAACCACCGGGAUGUUCAUAACCCUUUGUUGUCCGACUCUGUUGCCUCCGGGGCGACCCUGCCUUCGGGCGGGGGCUCCGGGUGGACACUUCAAACUCUUGCGUAACUUUGCAGUCUGAGUAAACUUAAUUAAUAAAUUAAAACUUUUAACAACGGAUCUCUUGGUUCUGGCAUCGAUGAAGAACGCAGCGAAAUGCGAUAAGUAAUGUGAAUUGCAGAAUUCAGUGAAUCAUCGAAUCUUUGAACGCACAUUGCGCCCCCUGGUAUUCCGGGGGGCAUGCCUGUUCGAGCGUCAUUUCACCACUCAAGCCUCGCUUGGUAUUGGGCAACGCGGUCCGCCGCGUGCCUCAAAUCGACCGGCUGGGUCUUCUGUCCCCUAAGCGUUGUGGAAACUAUUCGCUAAAGGGUGUUCGGGAGGCUACGCCGUAAAACAACCCCAUUCUAAGGUUGACCUCGGAUCAGGUAGGGAUACCCGCUGAACUUAAGCAUAUCAAUAAGCGGAG